CCUACGGGGGGCUGCAGUAAGGAAUAUUGGUCAAUGGACGAAAGUCUGAACCAGCCAUGCCGCGUGGAGGAUGAAGGUCCUCUGGAUUGUAAACUUCUUUUAUAUGGGACGAAAAAAGGCCUUUCUAGGCCGUCUGACGGUACCAUAUGAAUAAUCACCGGCUAACUCCGUGCCAGCAGCCGCGGUAAUACGGAGGGUGCAAGCGUUAUCGGGAUUAACGGGUUUUAAAGUGGGUUUAGGUGGCUGUGGUGAAAUCGCCGAGCUUAACUUUGAAACUGCCAUUGAUACUAUUAAUCUUGAAUAUUGUGGAGGUUAGCGGAAUAUGUCAUGUAGCGGUGAAAUGCUUAGAUAUGACAUAGAACACCAAUUGCGAAGGCAGCUGGCUACACAUAUAUUGACACUGAGGCACGAAAGCGUGGGGAUCAAACAGGAUUAGAUACCCGAGUAGUC
rnacentral:rRNA from 1 species